ACGCUCGACACCUACGGGGGCAGCAGUGAGGGAUAUUGGUCAAUGGGGGAAACCCUGAACCAGCAACGCCGCGUGAGGGAUGACGGUCUUCGGAUUGUAAACCUUUGUCCUCUGUGAAGAUAAUGACGGUAGCAGAGGAGGAAGCUCCGGCUAACUACGUGUCAGCAGCCGCGGUAAUCUGAGCGGGCUGGCAAGGC
rnacentral:rRNA from 1 species